AGAGUUUGAUCCUGGCUCAGGAUGAACGCUAGCUACAGGCUUAACACAUGCAAGUCGAGGGGCAAUCAGUUUGGUUUGCUUGCUAAACCAAAGCUGGCGACCGGCGCACGGGUGAGUAACACGUAUCCAACCUGCCUCAUACUCGGGGAUAGCCUUUCGAAAGAAAGAUUAAUAUCCGAUAGCAUAUAUUUCCCGCAUGGGUUUUAUAUUAAAGAAAUUCGGUAUGAGAUGGGGAUGCGUUCCAUUAGUUUGUUGGCGGGGUAACGGCCCACCAAGACUACGAUGGAUAGGGGUUCUGAGAGGAAGGUCCCCCANAUUGGAACUGAGACACGGUCCAAACUCCGUACGGGAGGCA
rnacentral:rRNA from 1 species